GGUUCCUACGGGGGGCAGCAGUCGGGAAUAUUGCGCAAUGGAGGAAACUCUGACGCAGUGACGCCGCGUAUAGGAAGAAGGUUUUCGGAUUGUAAACUAUUGUCGUUAGGGAAGAUAAAAGACUGUACCUAAGGAGGAAGCCCCGGCUAACUAUGUGCCAGCAGCCGCGGUAAUACAUAGGGGGCAAGCGUUAUCCGGAAUUAUUGGGUGUAAAGGGUGCGCAGGCGGCCUGUUAAGUCAGCGGUAAAAGCCCGGGGCUCAACCCCGGCGAGCCGUUGAAACUGGCGGGCUGGAGUUGGAGAGAA
rnacentral:rRNA from 1 species